GCCCCUGUAGCUUAGAGGUAGAGCAUCAGUCUCAUAUCUUCAUACGAGAAGAGAGGGCGAUCUGAGUACGCUGGUUCGAUUCCAGCUAGGGGCA